GCAAAAUGCCUCUCUCUCUCUUGUUCUCUUUGGGGUUUUCCUACAAAAUUCAUGAUCCACGAAGAUCUAUCCAUCCAAACUCAAAUCCAACUUCGGUAACGUGAUCUACGAAAGCCCGAUCUACGUUUCUACCUAUCAUUUUGAGGCUUUGUGUUAUUUGGAGCUUGUAAAGAUUCUCAAAACACCAAAUAUUAUUUGGGUAAAUUUUUAGUGACGCAUUGCAAGGUGGUGUAUAGGAGACCUAGUGCUUAAUAUCCACGCAGCCAAGGUGUUGCAGAUAUAGAUAUUGACUCGACCACUUAGCGUAUGGGAUGUUAUGAUUGGAGCACAUCACGACAGUCAUAAGUCACGGACUCAUGGGUAGUCCAUAUUUUGGGUAUUUCAUUUAUGGCUCGUGUCCUACGUGGCAUAUGUAUUUGUUGAGCUUGUAUUUUAGUAUGUAAUUGUGUAAUAUGUUUUAUAAACCUUAAAUAGAUAGACUUGUAAGUGGCUCUUAUUGUAAUUAAUUGUUAUGUAUUAGAUAUAUUUCCGCUACACAUGAUUAUUAUAUUCUGCUGUUAGGUGUAA